GAAUCUUUGUACAACUUAAUCGUUUAGAUAAAUUUGAAAUUUAAAAAUGCUUUAAAAUAGGGAUAAACUCUCCAAGAUUCUGAGUUUACAAAAAAAUUUCCAGUGUUUUAAGCAAUUACUUUUCUUAUGUAAAUCCCAGAUAAGAUGUAGAGGUACUUAUCAACAAACUGACUCCAGAUUUCUAUCAAUGAGCCUAAUAAUAUUAUAAUGAUAGUUUAAAUACUAGGCUGAAGGACAUUAAUAAUGGAGAUUAAAGUAAAAGAUGUAUAUUUAAAUUAAUUCAGUUAAAUUUUGUUAAUUGAUACUCAUUUCCAUUAAUUCUGUUUUUGCAACCUUUCAGACUUAUCUUUUAGUCUCCAGAGGCAGAAAAAAAGCAGAAAAGGUUGUUGAAAUUCUUCACAUUGAUUUCAGGGCAAUGAUCUCAAACGGCGCAGUGGGAACCCGCAAAUUUAAGAGCAAAGCUAGAGGAAACCAAAGUCAUAGAACAUCUGAACUCUGUCCAAACAUCGGUCGUAUUUCAAAAUUUCAGAGCCUCAGACUUCCAUGAUAAUAUCUGCCUAGUCUUUAGAAGAGUGUAUGGAAGUGUUCAAGAACCUUUCCUGAAACAACUUCUAUUACAGACACUGCUUCUUCAUGGUUAUUCCAUCAGAUUGCAAUCACUUAUAUGUUUUUUUCCACUCUUCCUUAUAUUAUGAGCACUUUUCACGUAGGGGUUCAUCUCUUUAAUAAUCAUAGCUCCCAACACAAUUGUAGGCUUAUAUUAGAUGCUCGAUAAAGAUGAGUUGAGUUAACAUGUAAAGUAAUGAAUGAGUAAGGAAAAAUAGAAUAGUUUCGAAUUAAUGCAUGUUACUGCUACUGUAAAUUUAAUGUUUUCAUUUCUAUUACUAUUUAUAUAUAAAUUUAAUUAAUUGUUAACUUUCUUUGCCAUCCAUACAUCUAUUUAUCUGCUCAUUUGAAAAUCUCUUUCCUGUUUCCUAUUAUUCAAAAUAUUAAAAGCAAAUAUUACUUAAAUAUUUAAAUCACUCUUUUUCCAUGUUAAGUUUCUCAGGAUGCAGAAUGUUGCUGUACACUGAGAAAUAUUAGGCGAUACAAAAUGGCUACUAUAACGUAAUGUUCUAGAAAAUGAUAAAAGUCAAACCCAUUGGUUUUUGCUGCCAACACAAGUUUGUCAAUGUAAUUAAUGCCCUUUAGCCUGGGAGGGUUGUAUGACAGGAAAAAUGGCAUCAAAGCCAUUUUUAUUUAAAAAAUAAAUUUAAUAUUACUUGAUAAUAAGGGAGCUAUAUAAGCAAAAAUCUUAGAAUUUUCUUUUUCUUUUUUUUCCUUAGUUUCACAUCUUUCUACAUAGUAUCCAAAUCCCAGUUGUUGAUACUAAUUUUCUUGCCUUCUUACCCUUAACAAGUUUGGAGACAAAGUUAAUAUCAUUAGUAGUAUGUAAACUAAUUCCUAAAGCAAAAGUCUCUAAAAGUGUGAUCCAUGUCCCAUUUUUUAUUGGUCUGCAAUGAGGUAAGCACAGAAAUUUUAAUCACCUCCACGCAUACCUUCAAUGAGCAACAUGUACAGUUUUUUGAGACUCUUCUCUCUUUUCCUGUUAUUUUCUGAUUGCAUUUAUAAAAAUGCAAUUUUGUGUUUGUUGAAUCUGAUGAUAAAAAAUGAGGAAACACCGCAUAUUCUCACUCAUAGGUGGGAAUUGAACAAUGAGAUCACAUGGACA
rnacentral:lncRNA from 10 species